rnacentral:misc_RNA from 1 species
AAGAAAUCAACAUUAUUUUUCAUAUUUAAAGAGUACGCAAAUGGAAUCGUUCAUACAGAAUCACCUCUGAUUUAGAAAACCAUGGGCAUUACCACUCACUGUCCUAGAAAAGAAAGCCCAAAACCAUGUGCUAGUAUAUAGCUUAUUUAAUUAUUUGGUAUUUCCACUUGCAAGUUUCAACACCCAUUUAUUGAGGGGACAAGACAACAAAAACUAGGACAUCCAAGAAAGACCCCAAUGUCAGAUCAAUGGCUUAGGGGGUGGUGGUGUUAGGCUUUUGAAUGAUAAAGGCCAUGCACUGACCCUGGUGCUUGUUGUCAAAUGCUAAGCAGCGGAUAUAUGCAUUUGGGUAUGCUUUUUUGCAUUCAUGGAUUUCAUUGAGCACUUGAGAUGAGUCAUUGCACCCAAACAUGGGGAGCUUCCAUAGUGUCCAGUACCUCCCAUCGUAGUAUCCUGGCAUUCGGCUAUUCUCUCUUUGCACAUGCCCCACCUCAUCGAAUUCAAGACAAGGGAUCCAUCCCUUUUUAAUCAUGUAGUCAAUCUCCUUCGCAAUUGAGUCAUCAGAAAGUGGAGGGAGGUAGGAUAGAGUUUCAAACUUCUUGUUAUUGAUUGGGUUCCAUGUCUUCAUACAAUGAGUUCUGGAGCCAUUGGAGAUAGUUUUGCGACUCCAUGCAAUAGAAUCCUUUGCAGGGAACAACUGUCUUGUUGAGUUGGCUUUGAGGCCUUGGCAACCAGACCCAGUAACGGCCGGAGCUGUAAAGAUUCCGGCGGUAGACAUCUUCUUUAAAGCAAGAAAUGAAAGAGAGGUGGAAGACUAGAAGAGGGACAAGGGAUCUUAGGAGUUUAUUUUCAAAGAUGAUAGAAACGGUUCAAGACAAGGACAAAAGGGGUUGGUUUUGGGGUUUGUGAGAAGCUAAGUAAGUGGUUUGUUAGAGAAGUGUCACUGAGAGGACGAUGGAUACAAGAUGGUGGGGAG